CAAUAACUAAACCAGCUGCCACUAGCUGACUGUCAGGGACAGCUGCUCGCUCUCUGACUGCCACAUGACCACCUAACUUUAAAAUAUACCUACGACGUUAUAAAUGUCGCUGCUGUUAACCCUCUGCUUAAAUGCCUGCUGCUUUGAUUAACAUUAGUUGAAUUCAAGGGCAGCUCUCACGCUUUGCUACCUGGUUAACAGAGGAAAUUUAGUUUUCAUGCAGUGAUCCUCCCCAGUCUUCCAAUCACCUGCCAACGACUGCUGUCCUCCCCACCUCUGUCUCCUCCUCCUCCUCCUCCUCCUGCAAGCCCAUUGGUACUUGGCUUCUUUUCCUGCAUCUCAGGGAGCCGUCUCUGCCAGCAGAUGUAUAUGAAUCCAGAUGUGAUGAUUACCAUGCAGAUGGAGCCGAUGAUAACCAGAACCACAAACAGCUUGCCGUAGUCACUGCGUGUGUGACUGGGCCGAGACGGGCAGUUGCUGGCAGCACUGUAGUUCUGGACGCCCACCUGAAAAGUUUACCUGGUGUGUCACCUCUACUCCUUUGAGAUCGCUGUCUGGUAGUAGGACCUCUGCGACCCCACCACCCCUGACCUCUGACCUGUGAGACUCCAGAGGCGUGGUCUUUUCCAGCCAAUUCCAGGAUGGGUCGGUGAACCCAAUAGUGGGGGAAGAAUCAGUAGUUGUCAUCCACAGCUGCAUGAGCUCUUGCCACCUGACUCGCAGAUGGUGGUGCGCUCAACUGAGAUGAGUUAGCUGACUCCAUCUUGGUCUGUGAGCGUGACGUUUCAUGUAUCUCUGGCCAACCCAUGUCAUGAACCAAAUGAGGCUGGGCUCGCACUAACUCCUGGACCAAAUGACGUUUGGUUCUCACUAACUCCAGGAUGAAACUUGACUUGGCUGGACUUUCAUCCCUGAAGAGAUGAGCCGCCGGAGCAUUGAGGGGAAUUACACGGUGGGAAGAACCCAGCCUGAAGGCAUCACAGCUGGCCAGAAGAGCUACAGGGAAGAAAGCAAAAAAACACUGGAGUUGAUACUAGAAUGUACCACUGCAGUUAAUCACACUGGAGUGGUAGCUUAGCCUGAAACUAACUGCCACUGAUUAAUAGCAUACUGAGAAAAUGUGUAAAGAAAACAGAAUUUAAGGAAACAAAUCAAACAUAAUCUCUAUAAAGCUUUCCUGAUAGACACACACACACACACACACACACAAGUGUGAUUUUCACAUGUUUGAAGUUCACAUUUCUGGCUUAGAUGGAAUAAAACUUGUUAUGAAGGUUUUGCUGCAAUUACAGCUUGUCAGCUGUUGAUCCUCUGCUCUGAACAUCUGGACACCAUCUGCUCUUAUAUGUUGAAUUUUUUAAAAAAAAAACUUACAGUGGCUCACAAUGGAAAAAUAAAGUAAAAACUAUUAAAAAAAUAAUUAGAAUUAAAUGAACUGACAGAUGAAAUCCAUUUAACUAAUUCCCGAUGCAGAAUUGCAGCACUCCUUGUUUUGUUACUCAGCACACUUUGAAGAACAGCAGUCCAGGGGCAGAGCAGAGAUAGGAGCACUCUAUAGACUGUAUUGCACAUUAAAGAGAUUUCAUUUACUGUUAAAUAUUCUCAAAUCAAAGAAGUGUUAUAUUCAUCAUAUUGGAACGUCAGUGACAGCUCUUUCAUUUUGUAUUUAAAUUUCUCUCAGUAUCUUAUCGGACUCCCAUGACAUCUUACUGCACUAAUUCCUUCAUUUGCUAAUUGAUUCACUAUUCAUUUGAGUGUUCACUAAUUAAUGCAGGGCUUAAUUACAGUUUAUCACUACCUGCAUAAUAGAAUACUGUACUAUUUAUAAAUGGUAUAUAAGCUGUCAUGAAUGGCUUUGGUAAAGCAGUCAGAAAAAAGGCAAUUUGACAGAUUGUCCUGUUUACAGUCAGCAUGACUAUAGAAAAUCUUCAGAGGAGAACAAAAAGCAUCAACAGUUGUGUUUUCUAACCGUAACCGAGCAGUUCUGAUGCCUAAACUGUGCAAGGUAGCUUUCAGUGAUGGAAAACAAUUUUAAAAAACAACUGAAAUGGAAAGAGAAUGUGUACAUGAACACAGAUCAGUACAUGAGACCAAUCGGAUGAACAUUGAUGUCCAGCAACAAGAGCCAUUGUUGUAACUAUUUCACAAUACUGAACCAGUUAAUAAGAACACAUUUUAGCUGUUUAGUUUGUGUGUCUUUUUUUUACAAUACUGUCUUGGUUUCUUGUUUUUAAUUCACAGUUAGUCAUCUGUAGCUGGCUAUUAGUAAGUAUUUAUAGAUAAACUCAAGCUUAUAGCUGCAACUGCUAAUAAGGAGCUCAUAAAUUAAUUUUAGAAUGAAGGCACAGCAGUCUGCCAAAUGUGUUACACACCCCUAUUGUGCCUUUUCAUCAUUUAGGGUUGCUACUAUCACCUGCUCAUCCGUUUGUUGUUUAAUUGCUAACUUCUCCAGCGGUCUUUUUUUAAUAUAAAUUGACCAGUUCCUGCAUCCAUCACUUAUGCAUCCAUCACUAAUCCCUAAUGGAGGGGGAGCCCUCACUGUAACCACCCAUAUGUAGCCGUCUGAGACCACAGAUGGCUGUCUGACCUCAAAGGCUAAGUGAGCAGAUUACAAUAUCAUAGACAACAUAUCUCAAACAUGUCUGCAGCAUGCUAAGCUCUCUAGUCCAACACCAUAACCCCACAGUCUCCACCCCGUGAUCCGCCAGUUCCCUCCUGCUGGCUCGAGCCAACUUUAAACGUGCAGACCAAAGAGAAAAAAC